CCUACGGGAGGCAGCAGUGAGGAAUAUUGGUCAAUGGGCGCUAGCCUGAACCAGCCAAGUAGCGUGAAGGAUGACUGCCCUAUGGGUUGUAAACUUCUUUUAUAUGGGAAUAAAGUGCAGUAUGUAUACUGCUUUGCAUGUACCUUCUGAAUAAGGAUCGGCUAACUCCGUGCCAGCAGCCGCGGUAAUACGGAGGAUCCGAGCGUUAUCCGGAUUUAUUGGGUUGAAAGGGAGCGUAGGCGGGUUGGUAAGUCAGUUGUGAAAGUUUGCGGCUCAACCGUAAAAUUGCAGUUGAUACUGGCAUCCUUGAGUACAGUAGAGGUAGGCGGAAUUCGUGGUGUAGCGGUGAAAUGCUUAGAUAUCACGAAGAACUCCGAUUGCGAAGGCAGCCUGCUGGACUGUAACUGACGCUGAUGCUCGAAAGUGUGGGUAGCAAACAGGAUUAGAUACCCAAGUAGUC
rnacentral:rRNA from 1 species